AUUGAACGCUGGCGGCAGGCCUAACACAUGCAAGUCGAACGAGUGGCGGACGGGUGAGUUAUGUCUGGGACACUGCAUGAUGGAGGGGGAUAACUACUGGAAACGGUAGCUAAUACCGCAUACCAUCAGAUGUGCCCAGCUGGGAUUAGCUAGUUGGUGGGGUAACGUCUCACCAAGGCGACGAUCCCUAGCUGGUCUGAGAGGAUGACCAGCCACACUGGAACUGAGACACGGUCCAGACUCCUACGGGAGGCAGCAGUGGGGAAUAUUGCACAAUGGGCGCAAGCCUGAUGCAGCCAUGCCGCGUGUAUGAAGAAGGCCUUCGGGUUGUAAAGUACUUUCAGUGGGGAGGCGUUACCCGCAGAAGAAGCACCGGCUAACUCCGUGCCAGCAGCCGCGGUAAUAC
rnacentral:rRNA from 1 species